rnacentral:rRNA from 1 species
CGGGUGAGUAACACGUGGAUAACCUACCUAUAAGACUGGGAUAACUUCGGGAAACCGGAGCUAAUACCGGAUAAUAUUUUGAACCGCAUGGUUCAAAAGUGAAAGACGGUCUUGCUGUCACUUAUAGAUGGAUCCGCGCUGCAUUAGCUAGUUGGUAAGGUAACGGCUUACCAAGGCAACGAUGCAUAGCCGACCUGAGAGGGUGAUCGGCCACACUGGGACUGAGACACGGUCCAG